ACGAACGCUGGCGGCGUGCUUAACACAUGCAAGUCGAACGAAGAGCGACGGAAGCUUGCUUCUAUCAAUCUUAGUGGCGAACGGGUGAGUGACGCGUAAUCAACCUGCCCUUCAGAGGGGGACAACAGUUGGAAACGACUGCUAAUACCGCAUACGAUCUAAUCUCGGCAUCGAGGAUGGAUGAAAGGUGGCCUCUACAUGUAAGCUAUCACUGAAGGAGGGGAUUGCGUCUGAUUAGCUAGUUGGAGGGGUAACGGCCCACCAAGGCGAUGAUCAGUAGCCGGUCUGAGAGGAUGAACGGCCACAUUGGGACUGAGACACGGCCCAGACUCCUACGGGAGGCAGCAGUGGGGAAUCUUCCGCAAUGGACGAAAGUCUGACGGAGCAACGCCGCGUGAGUGAUGACGGCCUUCGGGUUGUAAAGCUCUGUUAAUCGGGACGAAAGGCCUUCUUGCGAAUAGUGAGAAGGAUUGACGGUACCGGAAUAGAAAGCCACGGCUAACUACGUG
rnacentral:rRNA from 1 species